AAGUCGUAACAAGGUUUCCGUAGGUGAACCUGCGGAAGGAUCAUUACCAAAUCCAAUACCCAACCCCAUGUGAACCUGUACUGUCUGUCUUUGGGGGAAAGUGUAGUGUGGUUGUAAUGCUUGCGUUGCAAUCAUGCUGUCUUUCCCCCAAAUGAGCCCGGCACUUCGGUGUUGUUGGCUCAACUGACUAAACUACAUAUUUAAUAUUUCGUUGGAAUAUCUUUAUUAAUCUUAAUAAAGGACAACUUUUAACGGUGGAUCUCUUGGCUCGUG
rnacentral:misc_RNA from 1 species